rnacentral:sRNA from 1 species
AUCUAGCCCCGAUAGAAGUGAGAAUACUUUUGUGCCGGGGUUCGGCACAAAAGAUUGUAACGAAUAGCGGGACUUUUG